rnacentral:rRNA from 1 species
AGCGAACGCUGGCGGCAGGCUUAACACAUGCAAGUCGAACGGGCAUAGCAAUAUGUCAGUGGCAGACGGGUGAGUAACGCGUGGGAACGUACCUUUUGGUUCGGAACAACACAGGGAAACUUGUGCUAAUACCGGGUAAGCCCUUACGGGGAAAGAUUUAUCGCCGAAAGAUCGGCCCGCGUCUGAUUAGCUAGUUGGUAGGGUAAUGGCCUACCAAGGCGACGAUCAGUAGCUGGUCUGAGAGGAUGAUCAGCCACAUUGGGACUGAGACACGGCCCAAACUCCUACGGGAGGCAGCAGUGGGGAAUAUUGGACAAUGGGCGAAAGCCUGAUCCAGCCAUGCCGCGUGAGUGAUGAAGGCCCUAGGGUUGUAAAGCUCUUUUGUGCGGGAAGAUAAUGACGGUACCGCAAGAAUAAGCCCCGGCUAACUUCGUG